CCUACGGGUGGCAGCAGUGGGGAAUAUUGCACAAUGGGGGAAACCCUGAUGCAGCGACGCCGCGUGAGUGAAGAAGUAUCUCGGUACGUAAAGCUCUAUCAGCAGGGAAGAACAUGACGGUACCUGACUAAGAAACCCCGGCUAACUACGUGCCAGCAACCGCGGUAAUACGUAGGGGGCAAGCGUUAUCCGGAUUUAAUGGGGGUAAAGGUAGCGUAGACGGCAGCACAAGUCUGGAGUGAAAUCCCGGGGCUUAACCCCGGAACUGCUUUGGAAACUGUGCGGCUGGAGUGCAGGAGGGGUAAGCGGAAUUCCUAGUGUAGCGGUGAAAUGCGUAGAUAUUAGGAGGAACACCGGUGGCGAAGGCGGCUUACUGGACUGUAACUGACGUUGAGGCUCGAAAGCGUGGGGAGCAAACAGGAUUAGAUUCCCAGUAGUC
rnacentral:rRNA from 1 species